AGGGAUUGCAUGGGCGAAAGCCUGAUCCGCCUGCCGCGUGUGUGAAGAAGGCCUUUUGGUUGUAAAGCACUUUAAGCGAGGAGGAGGCUACCGAGAUUAAUACUCUUGGAUAGUGGACGUUACUCGCAGAAUAAGCACCGGCUAACUCUGUGCCAGCAGCCGCGGUAAUACAGAGGGUGCGAGCGUUAAUCGGAUUUACUGGGCGUAAAGCGUGCGUAGGCGGCUUCUUAAGUCGGAUGUGAAAUCCCUGAGCUUAACUUAGGAAUUGCAUUCGAUACUGGGAAGCUAGAGUAUGGGAGAGGAUGGUAGAAUUCCAGGUGUAGCGGUGAAAUGCGUAGAGAUCUGGAGGAAUACCGAUGGCGAAGGCAGCCAUCUGGCCUAAUACUGACGCUGAGGUACGAAAGCAUGG
rnacentral:rRNA from 1 species